rnacentral:rRNA from 1 species
GACGAACGCUGGCGGCGUGCUUAACACAUGCAAGUCGAACGGACCGGCCCUGCUUUUGUGGGGUGCUCGAGUGGCGACCGGGUGAGUAACACGUGAGUAACCUGCCCUUGACUUUGGGAUAACUUAAGGACACUGGGGCUCAUCCGGGAUAGGAGCUCCCGCUGCUUGGUGGGGGCUGGAAUGUUUCGGCGGUUGGGGAUGGACUCGCGGCUUCUCAGCUUGUUGGUGGGGUAGUGGCUUACCAAGGCUUUGACGGGUAGCCGGCCUGAGAGGGUGAGCGGCCACAGUGGGACUGAGAUACGGACCAGACUCCUACGGGAGGCAGCAGUGGGGGAGAUUGCACAAGGGGAGGAAGCCUGAUGCAGCAACGGCGCGGGUGGGAUAACGGCCUUCGGGUUGUAAACCGCUUUCGCCUGUGACGAAGCGGGAGUGACGGGAAUGGGUAAAGAAGGACCGGCUAACUACGGU